AGGUCACGCCUUGUUAUUCCUUGGUUUCACGCGCGAUGUGCCAUUCGCGGGUCAUCCUGAACGAGAGUCACGUGACGGGGAAAUAAUAUCAUGAAGGCCAUUCGGCCCAUCGUGCCCGUGCUGCACCAACCGCAGAAAACAUCACCCGUCCACGCGCAAGGUAACCCACAAGUCCAGCCAACACCCCUGUACCCCUGCACCUCCAAAUCCAUCUAGGUAUACCAAUGUAAUCCACAGUUGAUCUAUCUACUCUUCAUUGCUGCCACUACCUGAAAUUAAUGCAUCAUUCGUUCGGGCGAUGGGUCCGGGGGAUCAUCAAGGAGACCAAAUUCCAUCCAUGUAUGAACUACUCCUUGAGUGAAAGAUCUCUGCCAAUUACUACAGUCUUAACUCGAACCCUCUUUUACUUGCAGGCUACUUCUUGGUUCCUGGACCCAUCACUGUCUGUUCUGCUGAAAAACUCAGCUGCACUUAUUUUGUCCGUACCCAGCUUCAUUACAUUUGCAUGGUACCGUACUACAGUAUAUACCAAAGGUGGACCGAGGUUCUUUUCGCCCGUGUGUCUGUGAACAGGAUAUCUCAAAAAGUUAUGGAUGGGUCGGGUGUUUGACAAGGAAGAAUUGAUUCAAUUAUGGUGAAGAUCCGGAUCCGGAACCGGGCGGAGGUAUGCACUCUACCGAGUGCCCUCUAGUUGUAUAUAAUAGACUAGUGGGGGUAUGCUUACACAUUAUGUACAUGUUGUGUAAGCGUACGAACCGUGUUUCCUCAGUCUCGGGUCACUCACCUGCAUUUGAUUUUUCUUUUCUUUUUUUCAUUUAUUUAUAUUUUUAUUGACGGAUGUUUUCCGACAGAUCUGUGAUUUUUCCCGGUGUAUCGGCUUCGAUGUCCGUCGGCACACAAAAUUACCGUGCUUCCCCAUUGUCUCGGGUCACUCAUCUGCGUUUUGUCUGCGAUUUUGCGAUUAAAUUUCUUUUUUAUUUUCAUUUAUGGAUGUUGUCUGUUGAUUCUGUGAUAUUUUUUUUUUCCCGGUGUAUCGGCUUCGAUGUCCGUCAACACACAAAAUUACCGUGCUUUCCCAUUGUCUCGGGUCACUCAUCUGCGUUUUGUCUGCGAUUUGAGAUUAAAUUUCUUUUUUAUCUUCAUUUAUGGAUGUUGUCUGUUGAUUCUGUGAUUUUUUUUCCCCGGUGUACAGGCUUCGAUGUCCCGUUGGCACACAAAAUUUUAGUUUCCUCCGUCACCCGAAAGGAGCAACCGAUAAAUACAUUUUGUGAAGAUUCACUAGAAAGGAGGUGGUUACGAGGAGAUAUGAUGGAGAUGUUUAAGAUGAUGAAAGGUAUAGAUAAAAUAAGUGCAGAUUAAUUAUUCAACAGAGUAGACAGUGAUAGAACCAGGGGCCGUAGCUUGAGAGUAAAGAAGAGGAGAGUUAAAAUGGUAGUAAGGCAGGGGACUUUCACUCAGAGUAGUUAAUGCACGGAAUGGCCUUCCUGGAAAGGUAGUGGCAGCAGAAACAGUAGAUAAGUUUAAAUUAGAAUCAGAUCGGUACCUUGAAGUAAUGGAGAUUGAGGGGUAUAGGGAUGUUGGCAGGACUUUUAGGUAGUUUGAGAAUUUAUGGGUGAUUGUGUAAAUGUGUACAGAGUGCUGUUGGUGGGGGUCUCAUCAAGGGGAGUUGUGUGGUUGAUGUUGUGUUUUGUUAACCAAGAACCGUCUUCGUCCUUGCCCCCUCCUCUGGAAAUGAAAAAAAAAUACAAAAUAAAACAAUACAUUUUGCAUUUUUUUUUUGAUCUGGUGUUGAUGUGGCACAGGCAUGAUGGGCCGACUGGCCUCCUCCUGCGUCUAAUUUCCUUGUGUGUAUAAUCGUAAGUUGAGGUUGUAUAGAGUGAUUUGUUGUUCACAACACAAAUUUAAUUACUAUCCUGUUUACAUGUGUGUCUCUUAUUAAAAAUAUUUACUUACACAGGUUUAUUAUAACACCUCCGUGUUCAGACUUUGGGUGAAAAUGUUCUUAUACAUUGCCUGGGAUUUGCCUGGGAUUUUCCUGGGAGUGAUCGAGUAAUACGUUUUGUGAAGAUCGUACGUUGAAGUUGUAGUUAUGUGCAGUAUUUAAAAAUUAAUAUUAAUAAAAAGAAGUUGUAAGAAUGUAAAGUGGUCCAAGCACAUUUUGCAAUGCCCAAGAUUGGUAAGUCAUAUGAAACCAUGAGGCCAACAUUCCCCAAUUUGUCAUGCAGGAAAUAUUUUAACACAUCUUUCACUGAAUUUCCCUGGGCAACGCUGGGUUCUUCACCUCAUAUAGAUAAUAAAAUAUGACAUCUUCAAAGCAUUAUCAAAUGUGUGCAAUGCUUUAAAUUUCACAUUUUGACAAAUUUUGGGACAUUACGCAACCAACGGGACAACCAUUUUAAAUAGAAAAACAUCAUCAAUGGAGUUGGAGAGUUUUCUGGGUCACUUUUCCCAUUUGUUCCUCAUGAAAGCCUAAUGGUUUAUUAUAACACCUUUGCGUUAUAAUGACCGAGUAUUUGCGAGUAUGGUCAUGAAAAACUUUAAAUACAGCUAUUUCCAUGAUUUUUGGCUGCCAUAUUGAAAAUAAUGGAAAUGCAGGCAAUGUGG
ensembl:lincRNA